GCUGGAAUGGUCUAGUUGGUUAUGACGACUGCCUAUUAGGCAGUGCCUAACACGGAGUAGGUCCCGAGUUCGACUCUCGGUUCCAGUA